rnacentral:rRNA from 1 species
UACGUAGGUGGCAAGCGUUGUCCGGAUUUAUUGGGUUUAAAGGGUGCGUAGGCGGCUUAUUAAGUCAGUGGUGAAAUACUCUAGCUCAACUAGAGGGGUGCCAUUGAUACUGAUGAGCUUGAGUACAGAUGAGGUAGGCGGAAUUGACGGUGUAGCGGUGAAAUGCUUAGAUAUCGUCAAGAACACCUAUAGCGAAGGCAGCUUACUAGGCUGUAACUGACGCUGGGGCACGAAAGUGUGGGGAUCAAACAGG